UGUUUGAGUAUUUUGAGGCUUGAGUUAUAUUGUUGUGACUUUGUGUAUGUGUUUUGGGUUCUAUUUAGCUGCUAAAACGGUGUGAAAUGAUGAUGGAAUGAUUCUAUUAUUAAGUAAAUUGAUGCAUUUUUAUGAUUCAUAUUGGCAUAACAAGAAGGGAAUAUAUGUAAUUUAUCCAAUCGCGAGUAAAUAGAUAAAAUUAUAAAGAUCACAAUAUGGGCACAAAUGAGACUUGGCAUUUAUGACCCAAAGAUAGAUUUUGAAAGGAAAGGCAUUGUUUGAGUCCAAAAAUAACCUUAAUUCAGUAAUUAGAUGAUAUGUAGAUUGUUAUAUUGCGUUGUAUAAAAAAUAAAAUGCAUUUCCCGUAUUGCAAUUUUGUUUCUAUUAAUUGAUUUAAUCCCAUAUAUUUUCAGUGAACUUGAGGUUUUUACAGUGUAGCGACAUGAGAAUAUGCUUGACUUUCUACUUGCUACACACUCUCAGUUGGCCAUUAA
rnacentral:misc_RNA from 1 species